rnacentral:rRNA from 1 species
UACGUAGGUGGCAAGCGUUGUCCGGAUUUACUGGGCGUAAAGAGCGCGCAGGCGGUCGUUCAAGUCGCGUGUGAAAGCCCCCGGCUCAACUGGGGAGGGUCACGCGAUACUGAUCGACUCGAAGGCAGGAGAGGGUAGUGGAAUUCCCGGUGUAGUGGUGAAAUGCGUAGAUAUCGGGAGGAACACCAGUGGCGAAGGCGACUACCUGGCCUGUUCUUGACGCUGAGGCGCGAAGGCUAGGGGAGCGAACGGG